rnacentral:snRNA from 1 species
GUGCUUGCUUCAGCAGCACAUAUACUAAAACUGGAACGAUACAGAGCAGAUUAGCCUGGCCCCUACACAAGGAUGAUAUGCAAAUUCAUAAAGCGUUCCAUAUUAAA